rnacentral:rRNA from 1 species
GCCCUAGUAACGGCGAGUGAAGCGGCAACAGCUCAAAUUUGAAAUCUGGCUCUUUCAGAGUCCGAGUUGUAAUUUGCAGAGGGCGCUUUGGCGUUGGCAGCGGUCCAAGUUCUUUGGAACAGGACGUCACAGAGGGUGAGAAUCCCGUACGUGGUCGCUAGCCUUCGCCGUGUAAAGCCCCUUCGACGAGUCGAGUUGUUUGGGAAUGCAGCUCUAAAUGGGAGGUAAAUUUCUUCUAAAGCUAAAUACUGGCCAGAGACCGAUAGCGCACAAGUAGAGUGAUCGAAAGAUGAAAAGCACUUUGGAAAGAGAGUCAAAUAGCACGUGAAAUUGUUGAAAGGGAAGCGCUUGCAGCCAGACUUGCCUGUAGUUGCUUAUCUGGACUUUUGUCCAGUGCACUCUUCUGCGGGCAGGCCAGCAUCAGUUUGGGCGGUUGGAUAAAGGUCUCUGUCAUGUACCUCCUUUCGGGGAGGCCUUA